rnacentral:rRNA from 1 species
CACGUAGGGCGCGAGCGUUGUCCGGAAUUAUUGGGCGUAAAGAGCUCGUAGGCGGCCUGUUGCGUCCGCUGUGAAAGCCCGGGGCUUAACCCCGGGUCGGCAGUGGAUACGGGCAGGCUAGAGGUAGGUAGGGGAGAUGGAAUUCCUGGUGUAGCGGUGAAAUGCGCAGAUAUCAGGAGGAACACCGGUGGCGAAGGCGGGUCUCUGGGCCGAUACUGACGCUGAGGAGCGAAAGCGUGGGGAGCGAACAGG